rnacentral:rRNA from 1 species
UACGUAGGUGGCGAGCGUUAUCCGGAAUUAUUGGGCGUAAAGAGCGCGCAGGUGGUUGAUUAAGUCUGAUGUGAAAGCCCACGGCUUAACCGUGGAGGGUCAUUGGAAACUGGUCGACUUGAGUGCAGAAGAGGGAAGUGGAAUUCCAUGUGUAGCGGUGAAAUGCGUAGAGAUAUGGAGGAACACCAGUGGCGAAGGCGGCUUCCUGGUCUGUAACUGACACUGAGGCGCGAAAGCGUGGGGAGCAAACAGGAUUAGAUACCCCGGUA